rnacentral:rRNA from 1 species
GGAAUUUUGGACAAUGGGGGCAACCCUGAUCCAGCCAUGCCGCGUGAGUGAAGAAGGCCUUCGGGUUGUAAAGCUCUUUCGGCCGGGAAGAAAUCGCGCCAGCUAAUACCUGGUGUGGAUGACGGUACCGGAAGAAGAAGCACCGGCUAACUACGUGCCAGCAGCCGCGGUAAUACGUAGGGUGCGAGCGUUAAUCGGAAUUACUGGGCGUAAAGCGUGCGCAGGCGGUUUUGUAAGACAGGUGUGAAAUCCCCGGGCUUAACCUGGGAACUGCGCUUGUGACUGCAAGACUUGAGUGCGGCAGAGGGGGGGUGGAAUUCCACGUGUAGCAGUGAAAUGCGUAGAGAUGUGGAGGAACACCGAUGGCGAAGGCAGCCCCCUGGGUCGACACUGACGCUCAUGCACGAAAGCGUGGGGAGCAAACAGGAUUAGAUACCCUGGUAGUCCACGCCCUAAACGAUGCGAACUAGGUGUUGGGGAAGGAGACUUCUUUAGUACCGUAGCUAACGCGUGAAGUUCGCCGCCUGGGGAGUACGGUCGCAAGA